AAUGCGUAGAUAUAUGGAGGAACACCAGUGGCGAAGGCGGCUCUCUGGUCUGUAACUGACGCUGAGGCUCGAAAGCGUGGGGAGCGAACAGGAUUAGAUACCCUGGUAGUCCACGCCGUAAACGAUGAGUGCUAAGUGUUGGAGGGUUUCCGCCCUUCAGUGCUGCAGCAAACGCAUUAAGCACUCCGCCUGGGGAGUACGACCGCAAGGUUGAAACUCAAAGGAAUUGACGGGGGCCCGCACAAGCGGUGGAGCAUGUGGUUUAAUUCGAAGCAACGCGAAGAACCUUACCAGGUCUUGACAUCCUUUGACCACUCUAGAGAUAGAGCUUCCCCUUCGGGGGCAAAGUGACAGGUGGUGCAUGGUUGUCGUCAGCUCGUGUCGUGAGAUGUUGGGUUAAGUCCCGCAACGAGCGCAACCCUUAUUGUUAGUUGCCAUCAUUUAGUUGGGCACUCUAGCGAGACUGCCGGUGACAAACCGGAGGAAGGUGGGGAUGACGUCAAAUCAUCAUGCCCCUUAUGACCUGGGCUACACACGUGCUACAAUGGGAAGUACAACGAGUUGCGAAGUCGCGAGGCUAAGCUAAUCUCUUAAAGCUUCUCUCAGUUCGGAUUGUAGGCUGCAACUCGCCUACAUGAAGCCGGAAUCGCUAGUAAUCGCGGAUCAGCACGCCGCGGUGAAUACGUUCCCGGGCCUUGUACACAC
rnacentral:rRNA from 1 species